rnacentral:misc_RNA from 1 species
GCAGCAACCUCGAGCUCAAUAACGACGGCACGGCCAGCGACCGUCCGCUCGACGUGCCGCGCAAUUCGCUCGCCCUGCCGUCGCGCAAGAACGUCGAUUUCCGCUAUUCGCGGAGAUUCCGCAUCCAGGGCACCAUGGCCGCGGAAGUGAUCGCCGAGCUCAAGAACGCGUUCAACACCGAGCAGGUCUCGAGCGUGACCUCGACGGUGACGACCAACGCGCAGGGCGUGCCGGCGGCGCCGCUGCCGACGUCGGGCAGCCAGCUGACACCGACGGGCGGCUACGAGCAGCGUCAGUUCCAGCUCGGAUUCAAGUUCAUCUUCUAGGAAAGGCCAUCAGGCAAUCAGGCAAUCAGGCAAUCAGGCCAUCAGGCCAUCAAGAGCAAUCUGGAAGCAAUUCCUGAUGGCCCGAUGGACCGAUGGCCUGUUGGCCUUGAGUAGCAACAUGCGAAGAGUCUUAUUCGUUGUUUCUGUUGUCAUCGCCGCAGCGUCUGCUCAUUCGACGGCCCAGCACCAGUUGGUGCCGGUCGCCGCGAUGAAGGGUGAGCCGGCGCUCGAGCUCGCCCUGCGAAAGCUCGACACCGUCGGCAAUUUCAUGAUGACGACGGCGCAUCCAGACGACGAGAACAACGCGAUGCUGGCGUACUUCUCGCACGGGAAGGGAUACCGCACGUCGCUCGUCACGGCGACGCAUGGCGAAGGCGGGCAGAACGAGAUUGGCCCCGAGCUGUUCGUGCCGCUCGCGGUGCUGCGCACCGAGGAAUUGCUGGCCGCGCAUCGAUUCGACGGCGCGGAUCAAUACUUCGCGCGCGCGAUUGAUUUUGGCUUCUCGUUCAGCGUUGAGGAGACGCUCGAGAAGUGGGGCCACGACGAGAUCCUCGGCGACUUCGUGCGCCACGUCCGCACCAUCCGCCCGGACGUGAUCGUCGGCUUCGUGUUCGACGGCGAUGGCGGCGGCCAGCAUCACCAGACCUCGACCCGCCUCGCGCUCGAGGCGUUUCGCGCCGCGGCCGAUCCCG